AGCGGCGAACGGGUGAGUAACACGUGGAUAACCUGCCCUCGGCACCGGAAUAGCCCGGGGAAACCCGGAUUAAUGCCGGAUGGCCCCACAUCCCUGCGGGGAACGUGGGAAAAGGUAGCUUCGGCCUCUGGCCGAGGAUGGGUCCGCGGUGGAUUAGCUUGUUGGUGGGGUAAUGGCUCACCAAGGCGACGAUCCAUAGCUGGUCUGAGAGGACGAUCAGCCACACUGGGACUGAGACACGGCCCAGACUCCUACGGGAGGCAGCAGUGGGGAAUCUUGCGCAAUGGGCGAAAGCCUGACGCAGCGACGCCGCGUGCGGGAAGAAGGCCUUAGGGUUGUAAACCGCUUUCAGGAGGGACGAAGCCACUCGGGUGAAUAGCCCAGAGGGUGACGGUACCUCCAGAAGAAGCCCCGGCUAACUACGUGCCAGCAGCCGCGGUAAUACGUAGGGGGCAAGCGUUGUCCGGAUUCAUUGGGCGUAAAGAGCGUGUAGGCGGCCAGGUAGGUCGGUUGUGAAAACUGGAGGCUCAACCUUCAGAGGUCGACCGAAACCAUCUGGCUAGAGUCCGGGAGAGGAGAGUGGAAUUCCUGGUGUAGCGGUGAAAUGCGCAGAUAUCAGGAAGAACACCCGUGGCGAAAGCGGCUCUCUGGAACGGUACUGACGCUGAGACGCGAAAGCGUGGGGAGCGAACAGGAUUAGAUACCCUGGUAGUCCACGCCGU
rnacentral:rRNA from 1 species